rnacentral:misc_RNA from 1 species
UUUUUGCGAAGAGGUUUUUCCAAAAUAACAGUGGAGCUUGUUGUUGCUUUGUCAUUGCCCAAGACUGCCUGGAUAGCAUGAGUGGCACAAGGGGAAGCAAAGCUAGAACUGCUAUGAGCAAUUGCAACACCAUUAAAUUCACUGGCUUUUACACCAAGCUCUUGCAAAGAACCCAACUUUUUUGAACACCAAAACUUAUCCUGAAUCCUAUGUGAACUUUUUACAGAGCCCCUGAAUAGAAGAUUGACAGAAGAACAUGAAGAAAUCGCUUGAACUUGAGCCAUCUAGUAAGAUUAGUUUACAGAAAAUUGAUAAUUUUUCAAGAAAAGUUGAUUUUACAAAUGGAGGCAGAACAAGAAAGUGGAAG